rnacentral:lncRNA from 1 species
UCAUCAUCAUCUGACUCCUUUCUGCCAAAGACCAGUGCCGAGUGGAACCACCUUCCCCCCUCCAUCGCCUCCAUUGAGGACGUGUCAUCCUUCAAGACUGCAGUAACCGAUCAUAUCUUAAGCCUCUAAUAACUGAGUAUUGU